rnacentral:rRNA from 1 species
UACGUAGGGUGCGAGCGUUGUCCGGAAUUAUUGGGCGUAAAGGGCUCGUAGGCGGUUUGUCGCGUCGGGAGUGAAAACCUUGGGCUUAACUCAGGGCUUGCUUUCGAUACGGGCAGACUAGAGGUAUGCAGGGGAGAACGGAAUUCCUGGUGUAGCGGUGAAAUGCGCAGAUAUCAGGAAGAACACCCGUGGCGAAGGCGGCUCUCUGGGACGGUACUGACGCUGAGACGCGAAAGCGUGGGGAGCAAACAGG